AUUGAACGCUGGCGGCAGGCCUAACACAUGCAAGUCGAACGGUAACAGGAAGAAGCUUGCUUCUUUGCUGACGAGUGGCGGACGGGUGAGUAAUGUCUGGGAAACUGCCUGAUGGAGGGGGAUAACUACUGGAAACGGUAGCUAAUACCGCAUAACGUCGCAAGACCAAAGAGGGGGACCUUCGGGCCUCUUGCCAUCGGAUGUGCCCAGAUGGGAUUAGCUAGUAGGUGGGGUAACGGCUCACCUAGGCGACGAUCCCUAGCUGGUCUGAGAGGAUGACCAGCCACACUGGAACUGAGACACGGUCCAGACUUCUACGGGAGGCAGCAGUGGGGAAUAUUGCACAAUGGGCGCAAGCCUGAUGCAGCCAUGCCGCGUGUAUGAAGAAGGCCUUCGGGUUGUAAAGUACUUUCAGCGGGGAGGAAGGGAGUAAAGUUAAUACCUUUGCUCAUUGACGUUACCCGCAGAAGAAGCACCGGCUAACUCCGUG
rnacentral:rRNA from 1 species